AGAGUUUGAUCCUGGCUCAGGAUUAACGCUGGCGGCAUGCCUAAGACAUGCAAGUCGAACGGAGUGCCCCACUGAAACUUGAAUGAAGUCUGAGAGCUUGCUCAAAGAUGGAAUGACGGUGGAUGUGGAUUCUGCACUCAGUGGCGAACGGGUGAGUAACACGUGGGUUACCUGCCUCUAGGUUGGGGACAACAGUUGGAGACGACUGCUAAUACCGAAUGUGAUAGUAAUAUUAAAGGAGCCUUUAAAGCUUCGCUUAGAGAUGGGCCUGCGGCGUAUUAGCUAGUUGGUGGGGUAAUGGCCUACCAAGGCAACGAUGCGUAGCCGGACUGAGAGGUUGAUCGGCCACAUUGGGACUGAGACACGGCCCAGACUCCUACGGGAGACAGCAGUUAGGAAUAUUCGGCAAUGGGGGAAACCCUGACCGAGCAAUGCCGCGUGUGAGAUGAAGGUCCUCUGGAUUGUAAAUCACUUUUAUUUGGGAAGAAUUGUAAGUAGAGGAAAUGAUACUUACUUGACGGUACCUUUUGAAUAAGCCCCGGCUAACUACGUGCCAGCAGCCGCGGUAAUACGUAGGGGGCGAGCGUUAUCCGGAUUUAUUGGGCGUAAAGCGUGCGUAGGCGGUUUAUUAAGUCCAGAAUUAAAGUCCGAGGCUUAACCUCGGUUCGUUCUGGAUACUGGUAGACUAGAGUAUGGUAGAGGCAAACGGAAUUCCUAGUGUAGCGGUGAAAUGCGUAGAUAUUAGGAGGAACACCAGUGGCGAAGGCGGUUUGCUGGGCCAUCACUGACGCUGAGGUACGAAAGCGUGGGUAGCAAAUAGGAUUAGAUACCCUAGUAGUCCACGCUGUAAACGAUGAGCACUAAGUGUCGGGUUACCGGUGCUGAAGUUAACACAUUAAGUGCUCCGCCUGAGUAGUACGGUCGCAAGACUGAAACUCAAAGGAAUUGACGGGCACCCGCACAAGCGGUGGAGCAUGCCGUUUAAUUCGAAAAUACGCGAAAAACCUUACCUAGACUUGAAUCCCUGGCAAGCUCUGGAAACAGAGGGAGGUUAUCCGGGUGACAGGGGGGGCAUGGUUUCCGCAACUCCGGCCGGGAGAUUUCGGUAAAUCCCUACAAAGCCAACCCUUGGCGAAAUUGGCACAUUUAUGUGGAGACUCUUCGGAACUCCGGGAUAAACCGGAGAAAGGGGGGAAAACCCAAAAUAUAUUGCCCUUAUUCUUGGGGACAGGGGGUCAAAAUGGUGGGAAAAAAGGCGAUACCCCGAGGUGGAAAAUUCAAAAGCCAGUCUCAGUUCGGAUUGAAGUCUGCAACUCGACUUCAUGAAGUUGAAAUCGCUAGUAAUCCCGGAUCAGAAUGCCGGGGUGAAUACGUUCUCGGGUGUUGCACACACCGCCCGUC
rnacentral:rRNA from 1 species